UGCUUUGGCCUGUUGGAGGGGAAACCCGCUCUCGCCUCCUGGUGGUCGCCGACUCGCAGUCCGCAGGAUGACUCAGGGCAGCCCUGACCACAGUUCCGCCGCCAUCGGCCCUAGCCUGCGGAAUUGGGCUCGCCCCGGGACGAUAACAGAGCUCUGCCGGGGGCUGGAGGCACUGACCGGGUGACCAGAGACCCAGAGACCAGACCCCCUCCACGGCGCCCGGGAUUUCGGGGACGGCUUCUCCCAUCGCAAGUUUCAACAGAAAAUGAGAAAUAUCCCCCGACGAUUGGCUGAAAACAUGCAGCAACCACUAUUUUCUUCCUGCCCCUCGUUGAUGAGAGCAUUCGAAGUGACCUCAGCAGGGCAUCCAGAGUUUCGCUCUUGUGGCCCAGGCUGGAGUGCGGUGGUGUGACCUCGGCUCACUGCAUCCUCCGCCUCCCGGGUUCAAGUGAUGGGAUUACAGGUGCCUGCCACAACGCCCAGCUAAUUGUUUGUAUUUUUAGUAGAGACGAGGUUUCACCAUGUUGGCCAGGCUGGUCUCGAACUCCUGACCUCAGGUGAUCCACCUGCCUUGGCCUCCCAAAGUGCUGGGAUUACAGGUAUGAGCUACCGCGCCCGGCACAAAGCAUUUUCAGCUGUGAAAUUCCCUGGGGUGCUGCAGUAGAGGAAGGUUUGGGGUCUUGACGGGUGCUAUUUGCCACGGAAAGAUGCCUUCCUGCUCCCAGGGCAGGAGAGCCGAGGUAAGACUUACUGUAGGCUGUCGUUUUUUUUGUUUGUUUUUUGUCUUUGCGAUGGAGUCUCACUCUGUCGCCAGGCUGGAGUGCAGUGGCAUGAUCUUGGCUCACUGCAGAACCUCCACCUCCCAGGUUCAAGCGAUUCUCCUGCCUCAGCCUCCCAAGUAACUGGGAUUACAGGCACAUGCCCCCACAACCAGCUAAUUUUUUAUUUUUAGUAGAGACAGGGUUUCACAUGUUGGCCAGGCUGGUCUUGAACUCCUGACCUCAGGUGAUCCGCCCGCCUCGGCCUCCCAAAGUGCUGGGAUUACAGACAUGAGCCACUGCGCCCAGCCAGGCUGUUGUUUUUUUACCUCCUUGUUUGCACAAUUUGGGCCACUCACAAGAGUGUAUACCCUGUGAUAAACAGUUACCUACAUUCUCCUCUGCAUGCUUGUCUUUAGAGGAAGGAAAUGUAUUAAUUGCCCAAAGUAAUAUAUUGUGUUAAGAUGUGAUAUAUACUGGGGAAAAAAAAAGUGUAUAUUGACAUUUCUGGAAUAAACCACUUUGAUUCCC
rnacentral:lncRNA from 1 species